rnacentral:rRNA from 1 species
GACGAACGCUGGCGGCGUGCUUAACACAUGCAAGUCGAACGGAAAGGCCCUGCUUUUGCGGGGUGCUCGAGUGGCGAACGGGUGAGUAACACGUGAGUAACCUGCCCUUGACUUUGGGAUAACUUCAGGAAACUGGGGCUAAUACCGGAUAGGAGCUCCUGCUGCAUGGUGGGGGUUGGAAAGUUUCGGCGGUUGGGGAUGGACUCGCGGCUUAUCAGCUUGUUGGUGGGGUAGUGGCUUACCAAGGCUUUGACGGGUAGCCGGCCUGAGAGGGUGACCGGCCACAUUGGGACUGAGAUACGGCCCAGACUCCUACGGGAGGCAGCAGUGGGGAAUAUUGCACAAUGGGUGGAAGCCUGAUGCAGCAACGCCGCGUGCGGGAUGACGGCCUUCGGGUUGUAAACCGCUUUCGCCUGUGACGAAGCGUGAGUGACGGUAAUGGGUAAAGAAGCACCGGCUAACUACGUG